rnacentral:piRNA from 1 species
UGCAAAGACAAUUUUUGCAUCAUUUCCAUU